GGUAAAGUUGUUUUAAAUUUUAGUUUCAGUUAAUGAAAAUGUUUUUUACACUUGAGUUUUUGUUAUUUGUUUGAUUUCGUUAACAAUCCUAACCUUGGAAUGAACACAGUCAACUUUUACUGGACUGAUUCCUAAUUUGUACUUUUCAGCAUUUGUUGGGUCUGGAUGUUUAACAUUGCAAUCUUCAAACUGUCUUACAGUUACAUGUAGUCUUACACUGACCUGAACCACUGCAUGAUGUCAACUGUCGGGUCCUUCAAAGAAAAAAGAUCAUCUCUAAGGCCCAAGAAAAAACAUUCUGCUGAACUAUACAUUUGUUUCAGGAAAGGGGCCUGGUCGAGUCUCCCUACAUCCCAGAAGUUUGCUGGAGUUGGGAUCUAAACAUCAUUGAGUGACGGCACAUUCAUCAUCAUCUAUCUUUAAUCAUGAAACAUUUAAAAUAAUGAAUGAUUUUUUUUCACAAUUACAUUUUUUACAGCAG